AACGAACGCUGGCGGCGUGCUUUACACAUGCAAGUCGAACGGCAGCAUGACUAGCAAUAGUUGAUGGCGAGUGGCGGACGGGUGAGUAGAAUAUCGGAAUAAACGAUUAUGACUGGGAUAGCUAAUCGAAAGAUUAGAUAAUACCGGAUACACUCUAAGGAGGAAAGCUGGGGACUGGGAAACUAGCCUGGCGCAUGAUGAUUAGCCGAUAACCGAUUAGUUAGUUGGUGAGGUAAAGGCUUACCAAGGCGAUGAUUGGUAGCUGUUCUGAGAGGAAGGACAGCCACACUGGGACUGAGACACGGCCCAGACUCCUACGGGAGGCAGCAGUGGGGAAUAUUGGACAAUGGGGCAACCCUGAUCCAGCAACGCCGCGUGAAUGAAGAAGGCCUUAGGGUUGUAAAGUUCUUUAGUAUGGGAGCAAGGAUUUUUGGUGAAUAGCCAAGGAUAUUGAGAGUACCAUAAGAAUAAGCACCGGCAAACUACGUGCCAGCAGCCGCCGUAAAAC
rnacentral:rRNA from 1 species